CACGUAGGGGGCAAGCGUUGUCCGGAUUUAUUGGGCGUAAAGAGCUCGUAGGUGGUUCGGUAAGUCAGGUGUGAAACCUCCAGGCUCAACCUGGAGACGCCACUUGAUACUGCUGUGACUGGAGUCCGGUAGGGGAGCGUGGAAUUCCUGGUGUAGCGGUGAAAUGCGCAGAUAUCAGGAGGAACACCGGUGGCGAAGGCAGCUCGCUGGAACGGUACUGACGCUGAGGCGCGAAAGCGUGGGGAGCGAACAGG
rnacentral:rRNA from 1 species